GCUGGGCGCAGUGGCACGUACCUGUAAUCCCAGAAGCUCAGGAGGCUGAGGCAGGAGGGUCACAAGUUCAAACCCCAGCCUCAGCAAAAGUAAGGCACUAAGCAACUGAGUGAGAUCCUGUCUCUA
rnacentral:sRNA from 1 species